CUUACCUACAAAUAAUUGGAAGUAAUUUCCAGCCCCCGGUCGGCGACUCCUCACUUUUUCUCUCCGUCCCUCGCUCACAUCCGUCGGCAACCUCUAUGCCGCCGCCCAAAACCUUGCACCACGAGGACGCCGUUUCCAGUAACUCUCUCGGUUUCCCUCUCUCCUGUCAGUUUCUCUCUCUGUCUGUCACAUCUGUCUGUCGCUCUCACUUACCAGCCGCACCUUUCAUUAUGUCACCAUGACAGAAACUCCACCGUAUUGCCAUCGUAACGCAGUCGAACGGAAGUUCCACGCUGUCGAGCCCGAUCGCACGCCGCACAACCCUUCCCUCAAACUCGAGAUGGGUCACCAUUGACAGUAGCAAGGGAAAGGAAAGGCAAAUUCAGAACAAUAUGAAAUAAAAGGGAAUAUAGAAGAGAAAGCUCUUCAAAAAGAAUAAAGCCACGUGACUUAUCACGCCUAAUACUGCUGACCAGCUCCAAUGUAUACAUGCUAGAAGAUGAGACGGCAGUGGUGUCAAAGAUGCUUGAGGACCAUUACAGUUGCAUCAACAUUAAUUUCCCCACCCACAAUGCUUUCUUGAUUAGAGUGUGUGUAAGGUACACACCACAGGAACCCACUAUUUUGAUAGCGUGCUCUUCGGUAGCAAUGGAGUCGAAGAGGCUUCCCAGCAAACAUUCCAAUGACAACAGAGAAAAGAGAGUAAAGCGUAAGGAGAUUCUCGAGAAGAAGAAGGCAAUUGAUGAGUGUAUCAAAUCAGCCUCCGCUGAUAAAGACCCUCUUGCUUCUUUCCCGCCCUUUCGCAGCUACAACAGAAAUGGACUAUCUGUACACUUGAAAGCGCAGUGUGGGGAUAAGCUCUCCUUGGCUAUCAAGCAGUACAUUAUGAGCCUCCUUAAGGACAAUAUGGAGGAGCCAUAUGGAUCUGAUUGGCCAACAGAAGAGAAGGUCAAGCGCAGGGAAAUGGUUAUCCCAGAAGCACGCUAUAUAUUUGUGCAUGAGACCCCAAAUGAAUGUUCCUAUAGGACAGAAAGGGAACAAACUUAUACGAAUUGCAUAGAAGAUAAGGGACACAUUGUUGGGUUUGUACACUACCGCUUUACUCUUGAGGAGGAGAUACCUGUUCUUUAUGUAUAUGAAUUACAGCUUGAGCCCCGUGUCCAAGCGAAGGGGCUGGGGAAAUUUCUAAUGCAACUAAUUGAGCUUGUUGCUCACAAGAAUCGCAUGGGUGCUGUGAUGCUAACCGUUCAAAAAGCAAACUCAUUAGCUAUGAACUUCUAUCUAAAUAAGCUGAGAAUUGGUCAGCAGAUAUGUAAUAGCAGCUGUUUCACCGUCAAGAGUUGAUCCAUUGAUAGGAGUUGAGAAGAGAUAUGAAAUUCUUUGCAAAACAUUUGAUCAUGAAGCCAAGGCUAUCCUGGAGAUCGGUGACAUUGCUCAGAAGUAAAGCAUGCAACAGAUUGUGGCUGAUAAAUGAGCCAACCACAAUGUAUCAGCAGAUCAACAUUGUGAUUUUGAAACCAAGACAACGGAACGACUCAGAGACCGAUCUUGGUGGCAGCAGCUAUGGUCCACUGAUGGUGGCUUUUGCAGUUCAAUGUUGGUUUAGUCAUUAAUUUAGGCUGUUGGACAUCAUCACUAGAGGAGGCAGUUUUCCAUUAAACGACAUUUUGCUGCAUUUAAAUAGCCUGAAUAGAUACCUCACCCAAAAGCUAAUUAUCAGCGCGUGCUAUUUCAUUCUAAAUUCCACUUCGUCAGAGUUUAGUUAAGAAUUUUUGUAAUAAGAAGUCAGUGAGAAUUGACAUAUAUGUGUAAUGGCAGUGUGGCAAUCACCAGAGACCA